rnacentral:tRNA from 1 species
ACUGAUGGAUAGCUCAAUGGUAGAGCAAUGUUAUCCGUUUUCCAUAUUCUUGCUGGUGUUGUGAGGCAAUGUAAGGCAGACAAAUGCUGUAGGAACUACAAGUCGCGGGUUCAAAUCCCGCUUCGCAGUA